GACGGGACCCGCACAAGCGGUGGAUGAUGUGGUUUAAUCGAUGCAACGCGAAAACCUUACCCACCUUUGACAUGGCAGGAAUCCUAAAGAGAUUUUGGAGUGCUCGAAAGAGAACCUGCACACAGGUGCUGCAUGGCUGUCGUCAGCUCGUGUCGUGAGAUGUUGGGUUAAGUCCCGCAACGAGCGCAACCCUUGCCAUUAGUUGCUACGCAAGGGCACUCUAAUGAGACUGCCGGUGACAAACCGGAGGAAGGUGGGGAUGACGUCAAGUCCUCAUGGCCCUUAUGGGUAGGGCUUCACACGUCAUACAAUGGUCGGUACAGAGGGUUGCCAAGCCGCGAGGCGGAGCCAAUCCCACAAAGCCGAUCGUAGUCCGGAUUGUUCUCUGCAACUCGAGAGCAUGAAGUCGGAAUCGCUAGUAAUCGCAGGUCAGCAUACUGCGGUGAAUACGUUCCCGGGUCUU
rnacentral:rRNA from 1 species